rnacentral:rRNA from 1 species
UACGGGGGGGCAAGCGUUGUUCGGAAUUACUGGGCGUAAAGGGCUCGUAGGCGGCCAACUAAGUCAGACGUGAAAUCCCUCGGCUUAACCGGGGAACUGCGUCUGAUACUGGAUGGCUUGAGUUCGGGAGAGGGAUGCGGAAUUCCAGGUGUAGCGGUGAAAUGCGCAGAUAUCAGGAGGAACACCGGUGGCGAAGGCGGGUCUCUGGGCCGAUACUGACGCUGAGGAGCGAAAGCGUGGGGAGCGAACAGG